GACGAACGCUGGCGGCGCGCCUAACACAUGCAAGUCGAACGGAGCUGAGAGAAGCUUGCUUUUCUUAGCUUAGUGGCGAACGGGUGAGUAACGCGUGAGUAACCUGCCCUGGGGUGGGGGACAACAGUUGGAAACGACUGCUAAUACCGCAUAAGCCCACGAUCCGGCAUCGGAUUGAGGGAAAAGGAUUUAUUCGCUUCAGGAUGGACUCGCGUCCAAUUAGCUAGUUGGUGAGGUAACGGCCCACCAAGGCGACGAUUGGUAGCCGGACUGAGAGGUUGAACGGCCACAUUGGGACUGAGACACGGCCCAGACUCCUACGGGAGGCAGCAGUGGGGGAUAUUGCACAAUGGGGGAAACCCUGAUGCAGCGACGCCGCGUGGAGGAAGAAGGUUUUCGGAUUGUAAACUCCUGUCGUUAGGGACGAUAAUGACGGUACCUAACAAGAAAGCACCGGCUAACUACGUG
rnacentral:rRNA from 1 species